GGAAGAUGUUACCGAGAGGCACACUCUGGGGAACCCAACCUCCCCCCAAGAGGCUGGCGAAGAACGGGAGCUAUAAGGAAGACUUCCCCGGUGGUCUAGCAGUGAAGAAUCCACCUGCCAGCGCAGGUUCAACCUCUGGUCCAGGAAGAUGCCACAUGCCUAAGCAACACAGAGCCUGUGCUGUGCAACCAGAGAAGCCACCAGAACGAGAAGCCUGCGCAUUGCAACCGGAGAGCACCCCCCACUCACUGCAACUAGAGAAAGCCUGCAUGCAGCAACAAAGACCUAGCACAGACAGAAAUAAAUAACAAAACCAUUUUCAAAAAGAGCUAUAAGGACCUUAUGCUUCAUUUAAUGCUUGGACCUGCCUCAAUAACACCAUGGUAAAAAAUAUAAGGCAACAAGGAGGACCCAUGAGGUCUCCUCCCCUCUUGGUAACCAGGAGGAGAUUUUCGAAACACAAAUCCAACACAAAAAAUCCAAAUGCAAAACACAAAUCCCUUGCUUAGUGCAGCUCACAGGAUCCCUUCUGUCUGGGAUGGGGACGAGGCUCCUCAGCCUGGCUCCCCUCGUCUCGGCUCACCUGUGUCACCCACUGAAGCUGCUGAUCUUUCCUGGAACGUGAUCUGUCACUCCAGACCUUUGCUCUGCACAGGCCCCCAGCUCUUGCCGCUCCUGUUGUGGAGGAGCCUCUACCCUUGGCCACCUUCCCCCUUCUUUGCUUAGAGCUGAUUCCUUGCUCAGACCUCAGCUCAGUGGUCACUUCCCAGGGAAGCCCUCGCCAUGGCCCUGAAACAUGCCAACCCAGCUGCUGCUUUC
ensembl:lncRNA